GAGCGAUUCUCCCAAGAACUCUUCGCAUGUCUAAGCAAUAUGAGUCGACGAGCAGCAACUGACGAUAGGGUUGUUGUUGGGGUCUGUGUAGAAGUCGAAAUCUGCUGCUGAUCUUGAUUGGUUUCAAUUACAAGAGAACCAACACCACUACUAGAUGAAGCAACCAUAACACAUUUUGGGCUUUUCUUGAUUUGGGAUUUUU
rnacentral:misc_RNA from 1 species